GAUGAACGCUGGCGGCGUGCCUAAUACAUGCAAGUCGAGCGAACAGACGAGGAGCUUGCUCCUCUGACGUUAGCGGCGGACGGGGGAGUAACACGUGGAUAACCUACCUAUAAGACUGGGAUAACUUCGUGAAACCGGAGCUAAUACCGGAUAAUAUAUUGAACCGCAUGGUUCAAUAGUGAAAGACGGUUUUGCUGUCACUUAUAGAUGGAUCCGCGCCGCAUUAGCUAGUUGGUAAGGUAACGGCUUACCAAGGCGACGAUGCGUAGCCGACCUGAGAGGGUGAUCGGCCACACUGGAACUGAGACACGGUCCAGACUCCUACGGGAGGCAGCAGUAGGGAAUCUUGCGCAAAGGGCGAAAGCCUGACGCAGCGACGCCGCGUGUGUGAUGAAGGUCUUCGGAUCGUAAAACUCUGUUAGUAGGGAAGAACAAAUGUGUAAGUAACUAUGCACGUCUUGACGGUACCUAAUCAGAAAGCCACGGCUAACUACGUG
rnacentral:rRNA from 1 species